rnacentral:misc_RNA from 1 species
CCAAACUUGGUCAUUUAGAGGAAGUAAAAGUCGUAACAAGGUUUCCGUAGGUAUGUAGAGGAAAUCCCUCCCGUCUUGAUUUCUAGCUGCUAACAGUUUCUUAGGUGAACCUGCGGAAGGAUCAUUACCGAGUUGCUCCUGCUCUGCAGGAAACUCCCACCCUUGUUUACUGUCACUGUUGCUUGGCGAGACGCUACUUUGUGUCAAGCAGAGUAGCCACCGGCUUUGAAAGCGGGUGUGUGCUCGCCAAAGGUUUUUCACUCGAAUAUGUGCUGUCAGAGCAAGCGAGAAUUGAUAAAAACUUUCAACAACGGAUCUCUUGGUUUUGGCAUCGAUGAAGAACGCAGC